CCAGCCUGCCCAGUUACCACCAAGCCGUACACGUGUGCAGGGGCUCAGCUCUGGGUGUGGGUAGGGUGUCCAGGCGAUCCUGCCGGUAAGGGAGACCACACUGGGUCAGAUCGCAGCGGACGGGACACUGGGUCAAAACUGCAGGAGACUGGGCUGAGCUCCUCCAGGAAGCUGCACCCACGACCCCCUGGGAUGGCAGGCUAACAGAUGGUUCCAGAAGGGCGAAGGUUUAGUAAUUGGCCUUGGCUGUUCAACCUGACUUUCAGGAUGUAUUGUAGAAUUAAGAGCUACUCAACGUCAGGCUCUUCUGAGAAGGCAGGGAUCCCGGUCUGCUGCCAAAAUGAGCUCUCCCUGAUGGCUGUGUGGCGGGAGAGGCUGAGCAAAUGAACGGAGAGCGGAAAGUCGGAAACGCGCGGAGAUGGCAGCCGGCAAGACUCACCAGGUUUUCAACCUCUGCAGCCUGAAUGAGAGGAUUUCGUACACUGACGGAGCUGAAAGAUGAAAUGGUGGUCGUGCUUCUACAUAAGAAAGGCGGUGAGAAGAAAAAUCUGGUUUACCUUCGCAUGCCUGGUGCUUAGCAUGGUGCCAGUCACAUCAGAGGCACUUAAUAAAUAUUUGUGGGAUAAAUGGAUUAAUUUGGAGAUGCUUUGCUUCCUGUCUGCUGGGAUCUACCAUCUCUGGCUACUCCUGUGUUUUGAUUGACUCCGGAGCCACACUUCCAGGAUGUCUUAAGCUUAAAGUUUGGCUCUUUUGGAUACUCCUUCUUGCACCUACUCACAUACAGCUUUUUCCUCCUUUGGACCCUCACCACCAGCAUUGUGCAGGGCUCCUCCUCUUCCUCUUCCCUUCCCCCUCCCCCUCCCCCUCUUCCUCUUCCUCCUCCUUCUUCCUCUUCUUCUUCAUAUCAUUUCACCACUUCCCUCUUGUCCUUGAAAAAUGUCAAGACCCUCAGGUACAAACAGCUCACAAAGUUGGAGAAACUGAGGAAAGGGGAGGCAAGGGGCUAACGGAGGAAUGAAUAGCACUAUAAACCUCUCUUCUCUGAAGACCCAGGGUUUUCUCCCCUCAAGGUCUGGUCUCACCGGGGGGAAAAGCCACUAGCCUUAAAGGGCCACGCACAGUGCAGUUCUAUGCUAUUGUUUUGACAGCUGAAGUGCAAAGGAAUUAACUCUUUGAAUCAAAGUCUUCUGUAGUUUGAUGACUGCUUUUCUUUAAAGCGUGAUUUAUUAUCUACCUAUGAAGUCAUCAUGUGAGGGUAUAUUCAUACACACUCACAUUGGGUAGUAUGGAGUUGUUGAUUAGUUUAGAGAUUACUACUUUCCCUGCACAUUCUCAUGGCUUCCAAAUGACCCAAGAGUUCCUAUUAGUGAUUCUGAGAUAAGACUUCCAGGUAAUUAGGGAGAUUCUCUUUUCUAGGAAAGGCUCAUCUCUUCAGAACUCUGGGUCCAAAGAAUUGAGGCUUAUUGGUGCAGAUGUUUCAGGGGACAGUGUUCAGUCUGGGGGCUGGGGUAGUUUCAUGGGGAGCAUUUGCCCUACCAUAAUCAGUAAAAUUAUAUACAUGUACCACUUACAUGCUUUCACAUAUUUUAAGUUUAUAAUAGGCAUGUCUGUGUCAAUAAAGAGACAUAAGACUGCAUGAUUAUCCCCCCUCCCCUCCUCAGGGUCCUUAAGAUACUUUCACUAUUUAUAUUUUUAAUUGCAUGGAAGUACCCGGAGGCUUAGUGGCAAAGGACGAAAGUUGU